AUUGCUGGUGUGGAAGGCGCUAGGGUCGAUUCACUUGGUGUCUGUCCAAGCGGUGGUAACCCAUUAACUCUCAGAGUGUUGACGUUGAGUGCCACAGUUCGGCCUUACGGCGCGAGGCUUUCGUGUGCGUGGAGAGAUUCGGCGACUUGCAUGUAGAUAACGAAAUGGAGGCGAGGACGACAGCUACGAAUGCGGUCGUCCGUAUUCCGCGAGCAGUGCCUCCUGGGUCUGUAUCUCUUCGCUGUUUACUGUCUGACUGCGCAGUUCUCGGUAAGUACGGAUCAUUCUUUGCUGAUACGCCUCGCAGCGCAGCCGUUAAAGAGUUUUCCCUAUUUAUCUGCGGGCAACGAAGAGGUUCAUGCGUGAUGUCAGUGCUUGCUGUGUUUAGCGAACUGUGGUUUACUUUAAUUCCUUAGAGGAUUUUAAUUUUCCCUUACACUUCGGAAAAAGGUGAACAAUUAGUUGCUUCAGCAUACUCCUAGCAGUGAAACUAGUUUGAAUAAAUGUUAAUUCGGGAUUUUUGACUGUUUGUGCAAUAAUUGCUUCGGGACACUUAGCUUCGUAGUUGCGCUCUGCAGUCAAAUGUCACAGAAUUUUCAUUGCAUAGAAUACUUACUGGGAGGGUUAACUGCAGUUGGCAACGGUGUUUGGAAGACUAGCACAAGGGGUGUCCCGUAAUUACAAGUAAAUAAUGGUGCGUAACGCGUUGAGCCGGUCACAGCUUCUGCAAAUAGCGUGGCUGCCAGAACGUUUCAGUUCAUCGCGGAGUAGUGGGUACACACAGGGUAGCGUGAAGAUCACCCACCCCCGUACGCUAUAAAACAGAUUUCACCUCAAUUAAUUAACGUAACUAUACAAUUACCGUGCUGUGUAACUUGCCAAGCAUAGACCGAUAACCGCUGG